GAACCUAAUGCAUGAGCCCCUAUUUUCGAGUAUCUAACCCUAAUUAGUGAAGUGGCGCGAAAGAAGAAGGUUCCAACACUAGGAAAUCGGAAAGUUCACAAGAUCGAGGUAAAUCCUCAAUGUAGGCGACUUGGCAAAUUGGAGCGAGCAUAUGCACACCUUAUGAACAUCAAGCGCUUCUGCUAUUAUGUAUUAAUGUUUUAGGUC